UGCUCGCCCGAGCUGAAUACAGUGGCAUCUGGUUGGCAGUGCCCAUCUCAUAUCAGCCAGGGACAAAGUAACCCCUUGUUUGUCCCAGGUUGGCUUUUGGUCUGUGCCCACACAUGGUUCAUGUCUGGACAUGUGG
rnacentral:snoRNA from 1 species